rnacentral:rRNA from 1 species
AUUGAACGCUGGCGGCAGGCCUAACACAUGCAAGUCGAGCGGAGCGGCGGACGGGUGAGUAAUGCCUAGGAAUCUGCCUGGUAGUGGGGGAUAACGUCCGGAAACGGGCGCUAAUCCCGCAUACUAUCAGAUGAGCCUAGGUCGGAUUAGCUAGUUGGUGGGGUAAAGGCCUACCAAGGCGAAGAUCCGUAACUGGUCUGAGAGGAUGAUCAGUAAAACGGGAACUGAGACAAGGUCCAGAGUCCUACGGGAGGAAGCAGUGGGGAAUAUGGGACAAUGGGCGAAAGCCUGAUCCAUCCAGGCCGCGUGUGUGAAGAAGGUCUUCGGAGUGUAAAGCACUUUAAGUUGGGAGGCGUUACCAACAGAAUAAGCACCGGCUAACUUCGUGCCAGCAGCCGCGGUAAUUC